rnacentral:misc_RNA from 1 species
GUUUUCUCUCUCCUCCCUCACCCCUAGGCCAUGCCGCUGCCUCCCCAGCCAUCCCACCUCGCCGGCGCGCCGCCUCACCACCUCCCCACGGCCGGCCGAUGAUCCAGGCGGCCGGAAAAACGCGUGCGAAGACCGCUCGAUGAGCGCACGCCGUUUUGACUUCCCAGCCAAAAUUCGAUCGAUCCGGCCACUGAUUGGGUCGGGUCUUAUGUCAAACAACAUCUACACCUCG